rnacentral:rRNA from 1 species
UACGUAGGGUGCAAGCGUUGUCCGGAAUUAUUGGGCGUAAAGAGCUUGUAGGCGGUUUGUCGCGUCUGCUGUGAAAUUUCGGGGCUCAACCCCGAACUUGCAGUGGGUACGGGCAGACUAGAGUGUGGUAGGGGAGACUGGAAUUCCUGGUGUAGCGGUGAAAUGCGUAGAUAUCAGGAGGAACACCGGUGGCGAAGGCGGAUCUCUGGGCCAUUACUGACGCUGAGGAGCGAAAGCGUGGGGAGCGAACAGG